UAAAGAAAGACAUAGUAAUUAUGAUGUUGGCUUGAAACCAAUGGGAGAGGGUUCGAUUCCUUCCUUUCUUG
rnacentral:tRNA from 1 species